UUGUGUUGCCAAAGCGGCACUUUUAAUUAGAGCAAACAUAUUGUAGCUUUUCCACAGCCGCAUGUUCAGAAAUAGACACAACCUUCUACCGUAAGUGGUGCAAAUAUGUGGAGGCCUCGAAUACACUUUAAAAUGAGGCCAACAUCAUACAUAAAGGAAAUAGGGCAUUUUGGAAAAUGAAGCUGAUGCUGGACCACUUACAUGUAAGACAUUGACGAGUUGUAAAUGCAAGGAUUAAUCACACAACCGGUAUAUGUAUAAAAAACACAUAAAAAUCGAGAAAGUAGAAUAUUUUUCUGUAAAUAUUUUCAAUCUUCACUCCAGGGAAACAGAGUAUUGUGUGUGGUUUCUCAGUCAAAGACCAGAGGACAGAUUUUACAAUGACUUUCAGUCUAGGAAUGUGUGCGACCAAGAAAAGAAAAGGCUAAUAGGACAUUUGUAUUCAACACAUUGAAAUGCUUAAAUGGAAACACAUCUAUUUAUUCUUUCUUUACCUUCCUAUAAUUUCCCUGUUUUCCUAUUGACGGGCGCAAUCACUCAGUAGAGCUCCUUGUAGUACACAUGAUCUAAUACGUUUACAACAUUGUUGGUUGUUGAUUACUUUCGGGCCUUGUUUUAUUAUCACGGGUCCAUUCAUUAGGUUUGACUUAGUUGAACCGGUUGCAGUCUCACAUUUAUAUAGCUAAAUUAAUUUACCUGAUAUUAUGAUAUUAUUCAAUUUGAUAAAAGCUUUUUACUUAAAUUAUACAGGGGAACUGAUGUGAAUAUUUUUUUGCUAUUUUUCUGAUAAUAAAUCAUGUGGAGUCGACAGCCACGAGGCAGAGAGUUGCUUUGAGCUAAAGGACUAUUAUCCUUCAAAAUGAAUAUGUUAACAAGCUGACGUGUUAGGGAGUAUAAUGUUUACCAUGUUCCGUAUCUUGUACAGAGUGUUUGCGUGCUAUAUGUUAAUAUUCCUUAAUCACGUCUGCCAUUUUGUCUUGUCACAGCAGGGUAAACGCAGCUAUAAUUGAUUAAAUUAAUUAUGUUGCCGUGCUAUUUAGUGUGUCACAGUCAUCCAAUUUGCCAGCAUACAUAAUGCCAGUGUCCUCACCUAGAUGGAACAGGGCCAUAAUUAGUGUUAUUAAUUACACAUAUGUUUACCCUGCAAUUACAUGUCAAAUCGGCCGCUGUGAGAUGGGCCUAUUAGUGCUCACCAUCACUGACGUGCAGCGAAGCCUGUCGCUAGUUUUGCAGGUAUUUGGUCAAUACAAAUUACAUUUUUGACUAAAUUGUGGCGCUAAAGUAAAAAUCAACUAUUUAAAAGACACCCCGAGGGGGACGUGAAGGUCUAUUACAAUUAUUAAAGUUGCCGUUGCGAUACGCAAACAAGUCUUGACUAUAGUGGUUUGACCAACGUAUAGGUGAAAACAUUGAUACAGUGACAGGGUGCAAACGCACGGCAGAUAGAAGACGGAGACUAAUGGACAGCAGGCCUCAGACAAAGACGAAUCUCAUCCAUCUGCACAGGUCAGAUUUCACAAAGGAAAUGGGUUUCUUUUUCUCUUCAUUGAUUCUUCUUUCUCGUUCACUUAUGUUUCCAUCACUCCAUCUUUUCUCCCUCCUUCACAUGGACCAAUCAAUGGAUGGGAAAUGAAAAAGGAAGCCGCAUUUCAUCUCCAGCUAUGAAGAAAAACACUCUGCAGAGUAGCAGAGAGUACAAAUAAAAUAUCGGUCAGGUUUCUCUCGUUGGACUGAAAGUUCGACCUCAGUUAUGUUUUUAUAAAAACAUUUUUGAUUAAAAAUGGAAGGCAUAGUUUCCGAAGAUGGGGCAGAACAAACCAAACCAAAAAAAAGAAUAUCCAAGCACGGCACACUUGAUUUUAUGAGAAAUUCCCGUGCAUAUAACCUUAACAACCACCAAAGG
ensembl:lncRNA